CACUAGCCUUUUAAGCUAGAGAAAGAGGACUGCCAAGCCUCCCUAAUGAG
rnacentral:tRNA from 3 species